rnacentral:lncRNA from 1 species
AGCUUCAUCCACUUGCAACAAUUUCCCAUUGUUGAUCUUCUCUUUUGUAAAGCCUAAAUGCUUCUCUAUCUCAGUCCGAUACUGACACUGAUCUGGUUGAUAAGCCUAAUUAAGAAGAAGAAAAUUUUGGGUAAAACCUCACAUUGCUUAGUCUGGAGUUCUUUAUCUUCUUUAGUUCUCUUCUAAUGUUCCUUUCUUCAAUUUCAUCUCCCCUCUUCUGCUCUUUCAUGGCUCUCUCACGGUAAACUAUUACUGAUUUUGUUUAUCUGUGUCUGAAUAACAGGAACGAGAUUCAAGUUUUUGCACCAUCUGCAGAAAGGCUUCAAUUAUUAGGUUUUAACUCAGGUAGUCUUCUUCAGUUUGAUUCCUGUUUAUUUUUCUUUUUAUGCGGUAACCCUACCCCUAUCAUCAAUUUCUCAUUCUUGGUCUUCGUUCUGCAUAGGAUUUUGAAAGGAGGAUUACUGUUUGCUGUAGCCUGUAAGCAUUUGCUGCCUUUAUUUCAACAGAUAUAAAACUUCAACGAUGUGAUAAAUUUUUUCUCUUUUGUACUUAGAUUUUGCUCCCGCUCAUUGCUGCUAUAAGUUUUAACUCUGUCUCCGGGUCUUUUGUUCUUGGGGGUGGUCCUAUUAAAUUCAUAGGUUUAGGAAGAAGGCUUAUCAAAUAGAGAUUUUUUCUUCGACAUUUUUUUGAUUGUUAAUACGAUAUAUAAGGACUGCUAAAUUCAAAGGCUAUCAUUAAUUCAAAUUCUACCCCUGAAGUAGUUCAAAUUCAUGUCAGAAAUCAUUAAGCGGAAAGUAUAGUCAAUUGGGCUCUAAGUAUUCUAUAGAGUCCCAACUUCUUGACGAGUCAAUCUUUUAAAAUCAUUUAUCGAAUCUGACUAGCAACACACAAAGUUAUUUAUUUGAUUUAUGUACUGCUGUAGGUUAUAGCUGAAAAUUUGACAACAUAAAUUCGCAUUUUCAUUAUUGUGGGAGGGGGUGUAGGACGACAAUAUUAUGGCGUUGCCAUCAAUGGUUGUAUCUACUGAUAGUAUGAGAAAGUUGAUAAUUUGUUUCAAUGUUUUAAUGGAUCUUUAGUAAUUUACUGAUCCUAUAUCGCAUUUAGACACAUGUUAGCAUUGAUUUGAAGUAGGUGGUUGAUCAAAG